GGUUUCGUAGAAAAAGACCUUCAUUUGAAGCCUCUCACACAACGACUAUAACCAUGUGUGCAGUCUGCGCCUCACGGCAGGCGACGUCACCCAGAUGCUGGAAUACUCACGGGUAAAUCAGCAGCCGAUGUUAAUCGUCAAGAUUACACACGGUUCACAGAUUAGAUGGUGGCGGUCAGUCGAUCAGAUACCUUUGUGGGGUAGAGGGGGCAGGGUUUUCAGUUCAUAUCUACACAUGUUUCGUAUAUAUAUGUGUAGCGAAGUCAGAUCCCUCAAAGAUUGAACCCUUGUUUCCAAGGUAUCCUGAACCUGAUCAAGAUGUAAUCGGUCGCUACUGUCUAUAUUGUAUGAAGUUGAGAAACGUUUCCGUUAGGUGAACCUGCGGAAAGGAUCAUUA
rnacentral:rRNA from 1 species